UACGUAGGGUGCGAGCGUUAAUCGGAAUUACUGGGCGUAAAGGGUGCGCAGGCGGUCUCGUAAGCUGGGUGUGAAAGCCCCGGGCUUAACUCGGAAAGGUCAACUGAUACUGUGCGACUAGAGUGCAGAAGGGGCAACUGGAAUUCUCGGUGUAGCGGUGAAAUGCGUAGAUAUCGAGAGGAACACCUGCGGCGAAGGCGGGUUGCUGGGCUGACACUGACGCUGAUGCGCGAAAGCCAGGGGAGCGAACGGG
rnacentral:rRNA from 1 species